rnacentral:rRNA from 1 species
GACGAACCGUGCAAACGUUGUUCGGAAUCACUGGGCUUAAAGGGCGCGUAGGCGGGCUCGCCAGUCAGGGGUGAAAGCCCACGGCUCAACCGUGGAAGUGCCUCUGAUACUGCGAGCCUCGAGGGAGGUAGGGGCGUGCGGAACUUCCGGUGGAGCGGUGAAAUGCGUAGAUAUCGGAAGGAACACCGGUGGCGAAAGCGGCGCGCUGGACCUCUUCUGACGCUGAGGCGCGAAAGCCAGGGGAGCGAACGGG